GUAAGAGCCAUGUUUAAUGGAACAGGAGGAUUUGAACCUGAGAAGCAGAAAAGGUGAUGGAUCUUCAAGAGCCAUGGGAUGAAAAGGAGUUACUGGAUGUGCUCUAGUAAAAAAAGGGAAUUGCAAGAAGGGGGGAAGCUAACAUGCAUAUGGUCUGCACAAGCACAGAAUUGUAGGCCUUAAUAAAAGCCUGCAAAGUGUAUCAAGGAAAGGUAGUGAAUGUAUUUCCAGAUUAAAAGUAUGCAAGUGGGGUGGUUCAUGCUUUGGAAAAUGAUUUCUGAAUAUGUGAUGGUGAAGGCAGUGGACUUGGAUGGAGGAACUCACUUGACAGGGGGAUCCUUGAAGGGAUUUGAGAAUUCUGUUGGAAUUCCAUGCCUCCUGGCAACCUGAGAAUUCAGGUCAAGUAGAAUGGAUGAAUGGAGUAAUAGAGAAACACGCUUUGAAGCUGGUGACAGAAACUAAGCUGCCAUGGGUAUGGCUUUUGCCAUUAGCUUUGGCAAGAAUAAGAGCUACACCCAAGGGAAUAUUCAAUGAUUCCCCUUUGAAUUAUCUGGGAUUCUUACCCUGUUAAUUUUCAAAGUGGCAGGGAGGUGAAGAUAAAUAUUUAAACCAGUGUGUGAUCAGGAGACUGUAUCUAGUGUAAGCUCUUUGACAGGAAGCCCUGUUAGCAGAGACGUUCCCUGUGGACUUUGCUGUCCAGGACAUGCAGCCAGGACUGCAGAGACAGCAGCCGGGAGAGCUGGACAUGGGUGGACCCUUGGGUCAAGGUCUCUAAAGGCCAAGAGAUUUGGACUUCUCAGCUGGAAGAAAAGGAUGGGAGACCUGGGCUGUCAGUAGGCACGGAACUAUUUGGCAAAUGGGAAAACCAGGACCGGAGUUCUAAAUGUAGUCAGCAAACAGGAAAACACAGACUGGAUUCAGGCUGGAGUAUGGAAUUGACUUGGCAAAAGAGAAAACCCGGAGAAGAUUGUGGCUGGAAUGGAGUUGGCAAAUUUCUUCAGGGCAGUUGUAUCAUCAUGGUCUUCAAGAUCCCUUCCAACCGAGACCCCUCUGUGAUGCUUCCUUCCCCCCAUCACUUUUUCGCAGGCUCUGUAGCUUGCUUGUAGCAGUUUGAACUUUCUGGGGGAAAGACAAAAAUCUCCACUGUGCCCUGUUUUUCACUGCUCUGCAGGUUCUCACCAGGUCUCUACUGAAGGCAGUGAUGGCAGUGAUGGUUCAGGCGGGCACAGGGUGCACAAGGCUUGGAACAUGCAUGGGAGCGUGGUUCCCAUUCUCCCUGGUCUGAGAAGGGGCCAGGACCUUUCCUGUGGCAGAACUGCUAGAGUUAGGGCAGCCAGGCUGCAAGGGCAAGAAGGCAGUUUGGAUUAAAGCACUGCUUGAGGCCGUGGCUCACCUGGAUUCUCCAUGUGGACUUGUUUCCUUCCUUUGAGCAUAUGGGACAGAUGUAGAAAAGUCCAGACGGUAUCUAAGUUUAAUUCAAUUUACUUGAGCUGUGUUAAACAUCAAAAAUUAAAAAAUGUGUAUCUAUGUUCAAAAGAAAGUGUGAAAUAUGCUUCUUGUCAGUGCAUUUGUUUAGGGUGCUGCUUUGCAAAGUCAUCCUGAAACCAGCUCCCUACUGCACU
rnacentral:lncRNA from 1 species